rnacentral:rRNA from 1 species
AACGAACGCUGGCGGCGUGGAUUAGGCAUGCAAGUCGAACGAUCCCGCAAGGGAUAGUGGCGAAAGGGUGCGUAACACGUGGGCAAUCUGCCCCCGAAACGGGAAUAACUUCGGGAAACCGAAGCUAAUACCUGAUGACACCGAGCUGCCGCAUGGUGGCACGGUGAAAGGCGUCCGCAAGGGUGCCGAUCGGGGAUGAGCCCGCGGCCUAUCAGCUAGUUGGUGAGGUAACGGCCCACCAAGGCGAUGACGGGUAGCCGGCCUGAGAGGGUGGUCGGCCACAUUGGGACUGAGACACUGCCCAGACUCCUACGGGAGGCUGCAGUCGAGGAUCUUCCGCAAUGGGGGAAACCCUGACGGAGCGACGCCGCGUGGAGGAUGAAGGCCUUCGGGUCGUAAACUCCUGUCAGUCUGGAAGAAAAUCUGCAGCAAUGUGGAUUGGCCGUACAGGCAGAGGAAGCUCCGGCUAACUCCGUGCCAGCAGCCGCGGUAAACUGU